rnacentral:rRNA from 1 species
UCCAGACUCCUACGGGAGGCAGCAGUGGGGGAUAUUGCACAAUGGGGGGAACCCUGAUGCAGCGACGCCGCGUGGGUGAAGGAGCGUUUCGGCGCGUAAAGCCCUAUCGGCAGGGAAGAAGGAGGACGGUACCUGACUAAGAAGCCCCGGCUAACUACGUGCCAGCAGCCGCGGUAAUACGUAGGGGGCAAGCGUUAUCCGGAGUUACUGGGUGUAAAGGGGGCGCAGACGGCAGCGCAAGCCAGGAGUGAAAGCCCGGGGCCCAACCCCGGGACUGCUCUUGGAACUGCGCGGCUGGAGUGCAGGAGGGGCAGGCGGAAUUCCUGGUGUAGCGGUGAAAUGCGUAGAUAUCAGGAGGAACACCGGUGGCGAAGGCGGCCUGCUGGACUGCGACUGACGUUGAGGCCCGAAAGCGUGGGGAGCAAACAGGAUUAGAUACCCGUGUAGC